UACAGAGGUCUCAAGCGUUGUUCGGAUUCAUUGGGCGUAAAGGGUGCGUAGGCGGCGCGGUAAGUCGGGUGUGAAAUCUUGGAGCUCAACUCCAGAACUGCCUUUGAUACUGGCGAUCUCGAGUCCGGGAGAGGUGAGUGGAACUGCGAGUGUAGAGGUGAAAUUCGUAGAUAUUCGCAAGAACACCAGUGGCGAAGGCGGCUCACUGGCCCGGUACUGACGCUGAGGUGCGAAAGCGUGGGGAGCAAACAGG
rnacentral:rRNA from 1 species